rnacentral:rRNA from 1 species
UCAAAGUAGCACCAUUAUCUUCAUUAUAGAGAAUCUCUUAUUUUGUCAAUUUCAUAUACUAGUGGGAAUUUUCAUUAUAGAACUUGGCUUGUAUAUUCCAACAAUGGGCUUCCUCAAAUGCCCUAGGUCUUCGUGAGCAAGCAAGUUGGAUGCACACCCACUUAGUUUCUUUUGUUGAGCUUUCAUACAUUUAUAUCUCUAGUGCAUCCAUUGCAUGGCAAUCCCUACUCACUCACAUUGAUAUCUAUUGAUGGGAAUCUCCAUAGCCCAUUAAUAUGCCUAGUUGAUGUGAGACCAUCUUCCUCUUUUUUGUCUUCUCCACAACCACC